AAAUAGUAUACCACUAAAUAAUGUUAAAUUAUCUUUUUUUACAUAAUUUUGAGUUAUUCGUUACAAAAAACCUUGUAUGUAACUCUUUCAGAAAGUUGUCUUUCCGAAUUGGUUAGGUAAAUAACUAUUUCAGAACUCCAAGGUUAAUUUAAAUUUCGAGUUGUGGAAAAUGGGUAAUUUAACUACAAGAAAAUUUGAAACGACUUUUCACUGCUACAAUGAAUUAAUUAAUAAAAGAUUCAUCAAACGUUUUUAAUGACAAAUCUUGUUCCUUUAUAUGUAAGGCCCCUUUCACAUUGAAAGUGUGGCCUACUUUCAAUGAAAAAUCAAACACAAAAUCACUUGUUGGAAAAACUCAACAAAACCAUAGGAAAAACGUUUCUUUUGGCCAAUUAAUAAAAAAACAGAGUUCUUAAAAUCCUUUUAUUUAAUGGAAUCAACGGUGUUUUCACACAAUAAAUCAGUGUAUCACACGUUA